rnacentral:rRNA from 1 species
GUGGCGAACGGGUGAGUAACACGUGGGUAACCUGCCCAUCAGAGGGGGAUAACAUUCGGAAACGGAUGCUAAAACCGCAUAGGUCUUCGAGCCGCAUGGCUUGAAGAGGAAAAGAGGCGCAAGCUUCUGCUGAUGGAUGGACUCGCGGUGCAUUAGCUAGUUGGUGAGGUAACGGCUCACCAAGGCCGUGAUGCAUAGCCGACCUGAGAGGGUGAUCGGCCACAUUGGGACUGAGACACGGCCCAAACUCCUACGGGAGGCAGCAGUAGGGAAUCUUCCGCAAUGGACGCAAGUCUGACGGAGCAACGCCGCGUGAGUGAAGAAGGUUUUCGGAUCGUAAAACUCUGUUGUUAGAGAAGAACAAGUGCUAGAGUAACUGUUAGCGCCUUGACGGUAUCUAACCAGAAAGCCACGGCUAACUACGUGCCAGCAGCCGCGGUAAUACGUAGGUGCAAGCGUUGUCCGAAUUUAUUG